rnacentral:rRNA from 1 species
UACAGAGGCCUCGAGCGUUAGGCGGAAUCACUGGGCUUAAAGCGUGUGUAGGUGGAUGCCUAAGUACCUUGUGAAAUCCCACAGCUUAACUGUGGAAUUGCUUGGUAUACUGGGUGUCUUGAGCCACUCAGGGGCUACCGGAACAAAUGGUGGAGCGGUGAAAUGCGUAGAUAUCAUUUGGAACGCCCAAUGGGUGAAAACAGGUAGCUGGGGGUGUGCUGACACUGAGACACGAAAGCCAGGGGAGCAAACGGG